GACGAACGCUGGCGGCGUGCUUAACACAUGCAAGUCGAACGGUAAGGCCCUUUCGGGGGUACACGAGUGGCGAACGGGUGAGUAACACGUGGGUGAUCUGCCCUGCACUUUGGGAUAAGCCUGGGAAACUGGGUCUAAUACCGGAUAGGACUACGCGAUGCAUGUCGUGUGGUGGAAAGCUUUUGCGGUGUGGGAUGGGCCCGCGGCCUAUCAGCUUGUUGGUGGGGUGAUGGCCUGCCAAGGCGACGACGGGUAGCCGGCCUGAGAGGGUGUCCGGCCACACUGGGACUGAGAUACGGCCCAGACUCCUACGGGAGGCAGCAGUGGGGAAUAUUGCACAAUGGGCGCAAGCCUGAUGCAGCGACGCCGCGUGGGGGAUGACGGCCUUCGGGUUGUAAACCCCUUUCAGCACAGACGAAGCGUAAGUGACGGUAUGUGCAGAAGAAGCACCGGCCAACUACGUG
rnacentral:rRNA from 1 species